UAAACACAGUGACUCAAAAACCCUCGAGUCCUCCUCGAUCGAAAGCCAUUGUGUAAUCAAAUCGCACUAACAGAUGAGAGGAGCUAUUGGAAGAAGAUUCUCGAACCCUAGCAAUGGCUUUAGCCUUGCCUCCAUAGUCAAGCACACUCCAUUUCUCAUCCAACCUACUUCUCAUUUCUCCUCCGACGGCGGCGCUGGCCGUGGCCGUGGACGCGGCGGCGGUUCCGGAUCCCCAGCCGCUGGAGCGGGACAGUUCGGUUUCAAUCGCGAACCCGAAAAACCGAACGAACCGGUCGGUCAAGCACGUGGCUCAUCGGAAUCCCCAGGCGGAUACGGUCACGGUCGUGGCCGCCCGAUCCAAUCCGAUCCGAUCUCUCCUCCGUUCUCCUCAUUCGUCAAACCAGAUUCGCAUAGCGUUGGCCGCGGAAGAGGUUCCCUCGGAUCAGACCCCGUUUCCCCUUUCUCUCCUGAGCCUCCUCGCCAUCCAGCUCCUCCACAGCCGCAUCAACCGCGUUUCGAACCGCAGCAAACGCGUUUUGAAUCGCAGCAACCGCGUUUCGAACCGCAGCAACCGCGUUUCGAACCGCAGCAACCGCUUUUUGAGCCGCAGCAACCGCGUUUUGAACCAGCCAAGGAUGGCUUUCAGGGAAGUCCUCCAUUUGCGAAGCUUGAGGCUACAAAGGAUGCAACUGCGCCGCCACCACCAGGGGCUCCGAACAACAUAGCCAAUGCUUUAGGAAGUGGAGCAGGUCGAGGAAAACCUUUUGUGCAAAAUGAAGACAACCGCCACAUUCAACGCUCUCCUCAGCGUCAGAAGCGAGCUCAACCGCCCAAGGAUACAACUCCCCGACCCCAACUGAGUCCGGAAGAAGCUGGGAGGAGAGCAAGGAGCCAGCUUUCCCGCGGCGAAGCCGCCGAAGGAGGAGGCGGCGGUGUGAGGGGAAGAGGAGGAGGCAGGGGAAGGGGGAGAGGAGCGAGAGGGAGAGGCAGGGGGAGAGGUGGUGAAGGGUGGAGAGAUGAUAAGAAAGAAGAGGAAGCUGAACAGGAGGCUUUGAGUGUAUUCGUUGGAGAUUCUGCUGAUGGAGAGAAGUUUGCUAAGAAGAUGGGAGAUGAGAUUAUGGCACAGUUAGCUGAUGGUUAUGAGGAUAUCUGCGAAAGGGCUUUGCCUUCUACUGCUCAUGAUGCCUUGGUGGAUGCUUAUGAUACUAAUCUCAUGAUUGAGUGUGAGCCAGAGUAUUUGAUGCCUGACUUUGGAUCAAAUCCUGACAUUGAUGAGAAUCCACCAAUGCCUCUGCGUGAGUGUCUUGAGAAGGUGAAGCCCUUCAUAGUGGCUUUAGAGGGGAUCAAGGAUCAAGAAGAAUGGGAGGAAGCAAUUGAAGAAGUGAUGGCGGAAGCUCCCCGUAUGAAACAGAUUGUUGAUCACUACAGUGGUCCUGAUAGGGUAACUGCUAAGAAACAGAACGAGGAGCUCGAUAGGAUUGCUACAACACUUCCCCAAAGUGCACCGGACUCUGUGAAACGAUUUGCAGAUCGUGUUGCUCUUAGCCUCAAGAGUAAUCCUGGGUGGGGAUUUGACAAGAAGUACCAGUUCAUGGACAAGCUCGUUUUGGAGGUGUCACAGAACUACAAAUAGAGAACUUAAGGUUUCAAAGACAUUCUUAAAAGCUUAAUCGUCGCAACUAAGUUUAGAUUCGAAUGAAGAAUCUUGCCUCUAGUUAAACGAUAGUUUGGCCUUUGAAAGGUCUCGCCUUUCACCUUUUUUUCAUUAUACGUUGUCAAGGUUUCCAUAAUAAUGGCAUUGUUCUUUCGAUUUUGUAACUCCAGAGAUCGUUUUCCUAAAUAUCAAGUUUUGUUUGCACACA